GCACUUUGCUGGCAGCCGGGAUGUGUAAGAGCCCACCUGUAUGAGUUUGUAGAAGUACGCAUACUGGCGUACGGUGUUUUUGUACUGACUCAGUACGUCCUGCACGGCCUG